AACACGUAGUCAACCUGCCCAGGGGACGUGGAUAACCUCGGGAAACUGAGAUUAAACCGCGAUAGGUCAAGAUUUCUGGAAUGGAUCCUGGCUUAAAUCUACAUGGCCCCUGGAUUGGACUGCGGCCGAUCAGGCUGUUGGUGAGGUAAUGGCCCACCAAACCUAUAACCGGUACGGGCUCUGAGAGGAGAAGCCCGGAGAUGGGCACUGAGACAAGGGCCCAGGCCCUAUGGGGCGCAGCAGGCGCGAAAACUCUGCAAUGGGCGAAAGCCUGACAGGGUUACUCUGAGUGAUUUCCGCUAAGGAGAUCUUUUGGCAGCUCUAAAAAUGGUGCAGAAUAAGGGGUGGGCAAGUCUGGUGUCAGCCGCCGCGGUAAUACCAGCACCCCGAGUGGUCGGGACGAUUAUUGGGCCUAAAGCAUCCGUAGCCGGUUGUGCAAGUCCUCCGUUAAAUCCAGCCGCUCAACGGAUGGGCUGCGGAGGAUACUACAGAACUAGGAGGCGGGAGAGGCAAGCGGUACUUAGUGGGUAGGGGUAAAAUCCUUUGAUCCAUUGAAGA
rnacentral:rRNA from 1 species